UCUACUACAAAAUCGGUGCCUGCCGCCAUGGUGAUCGAUGUUCGCGAAAGCACGUAAAGCCUUCAUACUCGCAGACGAUCCUCCUGCCAAAUCUGUACCAAAACCCGGCAUAUGACACCAAGAAUAAAAUGAACCCGAGCCAGCUGCAAAACCACUUCGAUGCCUUCUAUGAAGAUUUCUGGUGUGAAAUGUGCAAAUAUGGCGAACUUGAAGAGGUCGUAGUGUGCGAUAAUAACAAUGACCACCUAAUCGGAAACGUGUAUGCUCGAUUUAAAUACGAAGACUCAGCGCAGCAGGCCUGCGAUGCGCUGAAUUCUCGAUGGUAUGCGGCGCGACCCAUAUACUGCGAGCUAUCCCCCGUCACCGAUUUCCGAGAAGCAUGUUGUCGGCUGAAUAGUGGAGAAGGGUGUGUUCGCGGAGGGUUCUGCAAUUUCAUACAUCGGAAGGAACCAAGUCCUGAGCUAGAGAGGGAGCUCGAGCUCUCGACGAAGAAAUGGCUGA
rnacentral:sRNA from 2 species